CAUUAAUUAAAAGUUCGGUUGUUUCGCCGUAAACAGUUAUCUUCUUGCGAAAGAUUUUUCAGGUUCAACAGCUAUCUGGAGUUUUCUGAGUUUUUCACCAAUAAAAAGAUUUCUAAUAACAGAGGAGAGACAUUAGCAUCCCUUCUGUGAAAAUUUCCACGCCGUUAUUUAUUCAACAACAUUAGAAAAGUUUUGCUACGUUACGCCAUAACUUCACAAGAUGACUGCCAAAACUUUAAAACAAUUGGCGGACGAGUGGUUUGUCACGAUUCUCGUCUGUUUCUGGGCUCUACUGAACGUGUGUACGUUAUUUGUUUGCAGUACCCUGGACCAUACAAUUCAUCAUUGGUUGGUCAACGGAUUAACUCUUGCUACUCAAGCUAAUAACACCACGAAAUAUAAUUAUCAGUAGAGUAUCAAUGCAGACAUUUUAGGGUGGUUAAAGAAUGAACAUUACAAAGAUAAAUUAUUUUUAUAGACAGAAAUAUUUAUUGAUUUAUUCAGUUGCUUAUCUGUUCAUCCAGCUAUUAACAACAUUAGAGAUGUACAUAUUUUAAUAAGUUACGUAUUUACAAUGUUUCAAAUGCGCAACUUCGGUUAUCAGUUUAUCCAUGCGUACUUUCAUUGAUUAAAUCGGAAGAUAGAAAAUCACAAAGUUUAAGGAAAAAUAGCUACUGAUGUGUAACAAACGGCUCAAACGUAAUCAUCUUGUUUUCCUUCGC